rnacentral:rRNA from 1 species
CACAAGCGUAUAUUAAUGUUGUUGCAGUUAAAAGCUCGUAGUUGGAUAUCUGUCAUGGUGGGCCUGGCCCGACAGCUGUUCGUCAGCUGACGUGUGCCGGUUUUGGUGUUUGCGGUGGCGCACUUCGGUGUACCCUGCUUGCGCUAGCUCGCCGGACAUCCUUCAGGAGAACCGUUCUGCCAUUUACUUGGUUGGGGCGAGGAUCCUGAUCAUUUACUUUGAACAAAUUAGAGUGUUUAACGCAGGCUUAUGCCGCGAAUAGAUUAGCAUGGAAUAAUAAGAUAGGACUUCGGCACCACCUGCGAUUCGUUUCGGGUUGUUGGUCUUCUAUUUUGUUGGUUUCUAGAGCUGAAGUAAUGAUUGAUAGGGAUAGUUGGGGUGCUCGUAUUGCUGGGCCAGAGGUGAAAUUCUCGGAUUCUAGUAAGACGAACUUUUGCGAAAGCAUUCACCAAGGAUGUCUUCUUUAAUCAAGAACGAAAGU